AACGUAGGUUCCGAGCGUUAUCCGGAUUUACUGGGCGUAAAGCGCGUUCAGGCGGUUUGGCAAGUCGGGCAUGAAAUCUCUCGGCUCAACCGGGAGAGGUUGUCCGAUACUUCCAGACUUGAGGGCAGUAGAGGGUGGUGGAAUUCCGGGUGUAGUGGUGAAAUGCGUAGAUAUCAGGAGGAACACCGAUGGCGAAGGCAGGUCACUGGGCCGCAACUGACGCUGAGGAGCGAAAGCAUGGGGAGCGAACAGG
rnacentral:rRNA from 1 species